GGGAGUGUAGCUCAUAUGGUAGAGCGCUCGCUUUGCAUGCGAGAGGCGCGGGGUUCAAUUCCCCGCACUUCCA
rfam:Gossypium hirsutum cultivar TM-1 chromosome 1, whole genome shotgun sequence